UCCAACGCCCAGGCUCAGCGGCCGCUCCGCCCGGGAGUCGAACCAGCGCCCCAGCGUGGACCCUGAGCGCCGUCGGAAAGGCGUUAGCGCCCAAGGGGUCACAACCCAGCUUGCUGGAAGGAAACUUGGGGACAUCUGUAAGGAGAGGAAUAGGAAAGACCCGAGGAGAAGCAGUAAAGGAGGGCGUUGCGGAUCCUUUGGAGCCAAGGACUGGAACUGCCAUGCAAGAACUCUACCAACUGAGGGUUUCAUGAGCGCACUCCCCUGCCAAGAUCUUGGUGAAUAGUCUUUCACUGUGCAAUUGUGUCUUAGACAUUGUUUUACUUGUUAUCAUGAUUGUGCUUGGCUGGAUGCUUUUUGUUGGACUUGCAUGUUACAUGGGCACAUUUCCAGAGUUCACGCCUCCAACCCUGAAGUGGAAAGAGAAGUGGCCUGUUCAGGAGAGCAAGACACGACUGAGGAGCCUGACUUUGGAUGAAGAACCACAACUAUGAGAACCAUGUGGAAAGGAUAUAAGUAUCCCCCAGGAGGGACCCCGGUGGAAAUAAGCAAAGAUGAUCCUGGUGAAGUCAUGCAGCUCUGAAGCUCACCUGGCCUGCUGUAGAGCUCCUGUUGUUGGUUUCGCAUAAAUUUCUUCAAAGGUUUGUGAGCUUUUUGUAAGAGCCGUCAGGAAUUGCAGAACAAAACGGAAGACAGGAUU